rnacentral:rRNA from 1 species
UACGUAGGUGGCAAGCGUUGUCCGGAUUUAUUGGGUUUAAAGGGUGCGUAGGCGGUUCUAUAAGUCAGUGGUGAAAUACGGCAGCUCAGCUGUCGAGGUGCCAUUGAUACUGUGGAACUUGAGUACAGACGAGGUAGGCGGAAUUGACGGUGUAGCGGUGAAAUGCUUAGAUAUCGUCAAGAACACCGAUAGCGAAGGCAGCUUACUAGACUGUAACUGACGCUGAGGCACGAAAGUGUGGGGAUCAAACAGG